AAAUUUACAAAGAAAAUAAAAGAAAAAAAAAAAAGGAAAAGAAAAAAAGAAAAGAAAAGAGAAAACGUAUUCGAAACACGUCUCAAGG
rnacentral:ribozyme from 12 species